GUAAUUCUGGAAAGGCUCAGAGCCCAUAAGUUGUAUGCAAAGUUCAGUAAAUGUGAAUUUUGACUAGAAGAGGUUGCCUUCCUUGGUCAUAUCUUAACAGCAGUAGGCGUAGCAGUGGAUCCUGAGAAGGUUGAAACAGUCGCCAACUGGUCACAACCGACCAAUGUGUCCGAGAUCAGAAGCUUUCUUGGAUUGGCAGGUUAUUACUGUCGAUUCAUUGAAGGGUUCUUCAAGAUGGAAAGAUUAAUGACCGAGCUACUCAAGAAAGAAAAGAAGUUUGAAUGGACAAAGUCAUGUGAGAAGAGUUUUCAGAGUUAAACAAUAAGCUGAUAAUUGUCCCAAUACUUGUCUUACCUAACAUUCACCAGGACUUUGUGGUGUAUUGUGAUGCAUCAAGACGAGAUCUUGGUUGUGUUUUGAUGCAAGAUGGCAGGGUAGUAUAACUAAUGUUAACAUGAUUUUCUCAUUCAGUUAAUUGCAAUCAUUUGGUAUUGUAGUUCAAAGUUUUCUACCAUUGUUGGUUGCCCAUGCCCGUGCAUUUUGACAACAAAGAUUAUUUUCUAUAUUCUACAUGUUUAUAUUAAGUAUCUUCCAAAAAGUUAGGCUCCUUCGCUAGCUAUGUUCUUCUAAAUUUAAUCAAUCCAAUGCAUUGCAUGUUAAACACUUAUUACUUCUGCGAAUGACAGCUACAUGAAAGAAGGAAUGCGCAUAAGUGCCAAAGCAAUCCUUUUGGUGCAAGGGCACAACCACCCCCACAUACUGCUCCUGCAAAUUGGAAAUACAAUUGGCAAGCUUCCUGGUGACCAGUUGAAGCUCAGAGAAAAUGAUGAGUUUUGAAAUUGAAGGUCUGAAGAGAAAGUUGUGCAGCAAACUUGCAGUGAACUCACCUUCCUUUUCACCUAACUGGCAGGCACCUCCCCACUACGUGGUCUACUUUGAAGACCUUUUUGGGUGCAAAACGAGAGUCGAACUCCCGCUGGCUCCCUCCACCCAUAGAGUUUUGCCACUGAGCUACAAGCCCGUCCGCACUCAAAUUUUAUUAUGUGUUCAUCAAUAUGAAGCAAUGUAGUUUCCUUUUAAAUGGGUAGUUCUUCCAAUUGACAAAAUGGUGUUAAUGCCCCCCC